rnacentral:piRNA from 1 species
UUUGUUCACAGAGGAGACUGGACAA